rnacentral:tRNA from 1 species
GAGGUUGUAGCUCAGUGGUAGAGCACUUGCUUUGCAUGUAUGAAGCCCUGGGUUCAAUCCCUGGCAUCUCCA